GCGGGUUCGAUUCCCGCUGACCGAGACUGUGACUUAAUAAAGCCCCGGGAGGAGGGAGAGGAUUCUGG
ensembl:miRNA gmo-mir-11240 gmo-mir-11240